rnacentral:rRNA from 1 species
GAUGAACGCUAGCGGCAGGCCUAAUACAUGCAAGUCGAGGGGUAGAGGAAGCUUGCUUUCUUGAGACCGGCGCACGGGUGCGUAACGCGUAUGCAACCUACCUUUAUCAGGGGGAUAGCCCGGAGAAAUCCGGAUUAACACCGCAUAAAAUCACAGAACAGCAUUGUUUCAUGAUCAAGUAUUUAUAGGAUAAAGAUGGGCAUGCGUGCCAUUAGCUAGUUGGCGGGGUAACGGCCCACCAAGGCGACGAUGGCUAGGGGCUCUGAGAGGAGAAUCCCCAACACUGGUACUGAGACACGGACCAGACUCCUACGGGAGGCAGCAGUAAGGAAUAUUGGUCAAUGGGGGCAACCCUGAGCCAGCCAUGCCGCGUGCAGGAAGACUGCCCUAUGGGUUGUAAACUGCUUUUGUACGGGAAUAACCACUGGUAUGUAUACCAGCCUGAAUGUACCGUAAGAAUAAGGAUCGGCUAACUCCGUGCCAGCAGCCGCCGUAAUAC